rnacentral:rRNA from 1 species
AAAACCAAGGCUGAGGCGUGAUGACGAGGCACUACGGUGCUGAAGCGACAAAUGCCCUGCUUCCAGGAAAAGCCUCUAAGCAUCAGGUAACAUCAAAUCGUACCCCAAACCGACACAGGUGGUCAGGUAGAGAAUACCAAGGCGCUUGAGAGAACUCGGGUGAAGGAACUAGGCAAAAUGGUGCCGUAACUUCGGGAGAAGGCACGCUGAUAUGUAGGUGAAGCGACUUGCUCGUGGAGCUGAAAUCAGUCGAAGAUACCAGCUGGCUGCAACUGUUUAUUAAAAACACAGCACUGUGCAAACACGAAAGUGGACGUAUACGGUGUGACGCCUGCCCGGUGCCGGAAGGUUAAUUGAUGGGGUUAGCGGCAACGCGAAGCUCUUGAUCGAAGCCCCGGUAAACGGCGGCCGUAACUAUAACGGUCCUAAGGUAGCGAAAUUCCUUGUCGGGUAAGUUCCGACCUGCACGAAUGGCGUAAUGAUGGCCAGGCUGUCUCCACCCGAGACUCAGUGAAAUUGAACUCGCUGUGAAGAUGCAGUGUACCCGCGGCAAGACGGAAAGACCCCGUGAACCUUUACUAUAGCUUGACACUGAACAUUGAGCCUUGAUGUGUAGGAUAGGUGGGAGGCUUUGAAGUGUGGACGCCAGUCUGCAUGGAGCCGACCUUGAAAUACCACCCUUUAAUGUUUGAUGUUCUAACGUUGGCCCGUAAUCCGGGUUGCGGACAGUGUCUGGUGGGUAGUUUGACUGGGGCGGUCUCCUCCUAAAGAGUAACGGAGGAGCACGAAGGUUGGCUAAUCCUGGUCGGACAUCAGGAGGUUAGUGCAAUGGCAUAAGCCAGCUUGACUGCGAGCGUGACGGCGCGAGCAGGUGCGAAAGCAGGUCAUAGUGAUCCGGUGGUUCUGAAUGGAAGGGCCAUCGCUCAACGGAUAAAAGGUACUCCGGGGAUAACAGGCUGAUACCGCCCAAGAGUUCAUAUCGACGGCGGUGUUUGGCACCUCGAUGUCGGCUCAUCACAUCCUGGGGCUGAAGUAGGUCCCAAGGGUAUGGCUGUUCGCCAUUUAAAGUGGUACGCGAGCUGGGUUUAGAACGUCGUGAGACAGUUCGGUCCCUAUCUGCCGUGGGCGCUGGAGAACUGAGGGGGGCUGCUCCUAGUACGAGAGGACCGGAGUGGACGCAUCACUGGUGUUCGGGUUGUCAUGCCAAUGGCACUGCCCGGUAGCUAAAUGCGGAAGAGAUAAGUGCUGAAAGCAUCUAAGCACGAAACUUGCCCCGAGAUGAGUUCUCCCUGAGACUUAGAGUCUCCUGAAGGAACGUUGAAGACGACGACGUUGAUAGGCCGGGUGUGUAAGCGCAGCGAUGCGUUGAGCUAACCGGUACUAAUGAACCGUGAGGCUUAACCUU